rnacentral:lncRNA from 1 species
CUUUACUAGUCCAAAUGCUAUAGCGGUUAAACUCCGCCAUUUUGCCUCUUAGUGCUCAUGCUUGAGCCCGCUUGCCCAACUCCUGAGAUGUCAUCGGGAAGCUGCUGAUCAGCAAUUACAGCAAGCAGUCACCGUCUAUGAACUAGAAAGCUGAUUCACCAGACACCGAAUCUGCCAGCACCUUGGUCUUGGACUUCCCAGCCUCCAGAACUAGGAAAUGUUCCAACACAUCUGAGGAAACACAUGCCUUCCCAGACUGGCCUGAUGCUGUUUCCCAGGAGCUGCAUUCUGGAAGGUGGACCAUCAGGUGGAAGAAGUAUUCUUCAGAGAGCUGCCUUCCCAAGGGAAUGGUGACAGCUUGCGCUUGCCGGGGAGUCCUGCUGCCUUCCGAGGUGUGAAGGGAAGGCAUGCACUGUGCAUAUGCUGUACCAUACAGUUUUGCCUACAACUGCUUGUAGCUUCAUUGUAGCUGUGAAUGCUCCGUUCCUCUCCUUUUCACCCCUGAAGAUUCGCGAACAUGCAGGAUUGAGCUGUGCGAGGCAUAGCAUUCCCCACAUGGUAGACGAA